CAGAUAGUGUUUUCAAAGUUAGGCAUCUCAGAGGAGCUGGCUCUCACAUACAAAGUUUCAGUGGAAAACACAUUGCUGAAAGUAGUACGUGAAAUUAGGUUCAGUAACUGACUGAAGUGACUUUGAUUCAGUGACUGAGGAAUCCUCUUUUGACUCCAGGUGGAAGCCUUUGAUUUCUCUGCACCCUCUACUGCCUGAAACAGCGCUGCGGGUCCUCACACCUCUCUGAGUCGAUCCUUCCCUUUCCGGAGGUACUACAGCUGUUAGUAUUAUUUCCUAAGACAGUGUGUUUAUCUUGUGAGGAUGUGAAAGGGGAAAAGAUGGGAAACAGUUUUUCUGUGCACUUUAUUGUCAUCCACUGAAGAGCGUUCCCUGAAAUGAAAGUGAACCCUCCGCCAGUCAGAAGAAUUAGUUUGGGAAGUCAUUUGUUCAAAGCUUCAGAUUCAGCUGAAUAAAAAUCUGAAUUCAUGCCCUACGCUUUAAUGAACCUGACUAAAGCAAACUACAAGGACACGAGCUUCUGGUCCGUAAUUUCAUUAGCAGACUGUACCUGCUAUAAUGGAUGGACUCAUUUGUUUUUCCCGAUAGUCUGUUUUUUAUGUUCUGUACUGAAACCAAUUAUGCAACCAUGAUUUAAGCACAACUCAGUAAGAGACAAGGCCAAACUAAAAGCAGUGAUGGAGCCAUUUCAGAACUAAGAACAUUUUGAAUUACUAAGGGAUAGAAGACCUUGGCAGCUGGAUGGGUAAAGCAAGCUCAGUAACUGUCUAAAGGAGCUUGAAGAUGUACCACGGUGAAUUCAAUAGAAGUCAUGCAGCAACAGAUACUGAUUUUCUUUUAUUGUAUACCAAUUACUCCUGGUUUUAGAAUAUUAACUUCCUUCCUUCAGAUAUCUGAUGGGGAGAACUUUCACAAAGGUAAAGUGUGUCCCUUAUUCUUUUCUUUAGUAAGCCUCAUACUGUAUGAGAUUAUACAAUUAUAGUAGAAUGAAGUGGGUUUUAUCCAGAGGCCAUUAUUUUAUUUCUCAUUGCUUGAAUAUUUUGCUUACAGUUCCUUUCUGAAGUCCAUUGACAAUUCAGGGCAGUAACUUGCAGAAAAAAAUCGGUACCACACAUACCAACCGGGCUCUCAACUACAGUGUUGGUCUAUUUGUAGCCCAGUGUAGUGUUUGGGUCUAAAAUGAUAAAGGUAUUUGGUUGUACCACAAAGUUUUGUUGAAAGGCUUUUGCUAAAUAUGGAUUAAAAGGUAAAAUACCUUGAAAUACCUCUCCUACAUGUAUCUGAAGAUAAUCCACAGCAUAAUCUGUCAUGGCAUGCAACUGAAAUCCAUUAAACCCACAGAGAGUCCUCAGCACAACACAGCUCCCUGCUUGGUGCAGGCAUGCUUGGUUCUGCCGCGGGGUGGAAAGCUUGCCUUGCCUCCCUUCCUUUCUUCUUA
ensembl:lncRNA